rnacentral:rRNA from 1 species
CUUGGUCAUUUAGAGGAAGUAAAAGUCGUAACAAGGUUUCCGUAGGUGAACCUGCGGAGGGAUCAUUAAAAGAUUUAGCAUAUUCUUCUGAAUAUACUUCAUUAACCCAUUCCGAGUACCUUACCCGUUGCUUCCGCGAGGCUGUCCUCACGGCCCUUUGAAGAUUUAUCUUUGGAGAGUCCUUGCGGGAGGUAUACAAUAAACUCUUGCAUUACCAUGUCAUCUGUCUGAAUCUGUUUAUAACAAAUAUUAAAACUUUCAACAACGGAUCUCUUGGUUCUCGCAUCGAUGAAGAACGCAGCGAAAUGCGAUAAGUAGUGUGAAUUGCAGAAACUAGUGAAUCAUUGAAUCUUUGAACGCACAUUGCGCCUCCUGGUAUUCCGGGAGGCAUGCCUGUUCGAGCGUCAUUAAAAACCACUCAAGCUCUUUUGCUUGGUCAUGGAAGAAGAGUUUGCUUGCAAUCUCUCCUCCGAAAUUCAAAGGCGGAAAGUCUCAGAGCCCCGGCGUAGUAAUAAUAUUUCGCUUGGAACUUGAAAUGAUCCUGCCCUUAACCCCCGAUUUAUCUAGGUUGACCUCGGAUCAGGUAGGGAUACCCGCUGAACUUAAGCAUAUCAAUAAGCGGAGGAA